GUAAUCAAACCCAGUUAACAUUUUUUUUUACCUAAACUAAUGAAAAAAGAAGCGGCAAUCACUCAUAAAGAAACGGACACAUUACCAAUCAGGGGUUUCUGAACGACUGAAUCAUUGAUUCAUCGAUUUGAACACCCUAUUCGAGUAGUACUCGUAACAGUCUUUCAAGAUCGAAGAGAACAGCCACCCAGAUUUGAGUUUUCGGGUCCAAGGUGCUUUCAAGGUGGAAUUCCUAAAUGGGAGAACACAUCAAAAUUCAAAAGGCAGCAAGUAUCUGAAUUCGUACACAUACGGCUGAAUUUCUAUCAUUUUAGCGGGAUUGGAUUUCGUUUCACCAUUAAGACACUCCAUUAUUAACCUUUUAAGCGAGCCCGAUUGCGGCAACUGGCUAUAAAUCCAUUCCAAAAGUGACUCCAGGUCAUCUGCAAAAUCCUUCAUGUGCCAGUGCAUUGUAUAUGUUGAUCCAGAAUGCUAACUUCUGCUUAUACGUCAACAAGUUCAACUUCGCACUGCAAAGUUUCUGCAUCAAAACCCUGAACAAAGUAACAUGUAGUUAAUUAAUUCGUUACACAACCACGCGUAAACAUUUUCUAAAAAACAUCAGCAAGUUAGUUAGUUGGUUGGUUAGUUAGUUACCUGAUUU